UCCUCAAAUUGCUUAUAAUCUAGGUGAGGACACAUCUGAGAGAAUAACUAAUAGUUCAGUGAAGUUAAAAAACAACAACAACAACAAAAAAAAAACCCACAAAACCCUGAGGCUCAGAAGAUAAAUAUUUGCUGAAGAUCACUGUGCUUAUUAGAAGGGUGUUACUGAUUCUUACCUCAGAGAAGAGAAUGUCAUGGAGACAAAAUGACCUGCUUAGAGUUCUGCGCCCCCCAGCAUGGAGAGCAGAGCGCAAAGAUUUCCUCCAGACUCCCACAUUCUCCCUUGGAAUCCAAGAACUUGUCUACUAUCACAACACUUUAGUACCCACUUAGAUGGGGUCUCACUCUGUUGCCCAGGCUGGUCUCAAACUCCUGGCUUCAAGGAAUCCUCCUGCUUCGGCCUCCCAAACUUCUGGGAUUACAGAUAUGAGCCACCAUGGCUGACUGACGGGCACCAAAUUCUAGGAGAGGACUUGAAUAGGUCUAGAGUGCAAUGGUGCAAUCUGGGCUCACCGCAACCUCAGCCUCCCAUGUUCAAGCGAUUCUUCUGCCUUAGCCUCCCGAGUAGCUGGGAUUACAGCUCCUAAGGAGGCAGCAGAAACCAAGGUAAUCACAAUGGUCAACAGCAGCGAAGGCAGCACUUUC
rnacentral:antisense_RNA from 1 species